UAGCUCAGCUGGGAGAGCGCCUGCUUUGCACGCAGGAGGUCUGCGGUUCGAUCCCG
rnacentral:tRNA from 4 species